GAUGAACGCUAGCUACAGGCUUAACACAUGCAAGUCGAGGGGUAGCAGGGUAGCAAUACCGCUGACGACCGGCGCACGGGUGAGUAAAACGUAUCCAACCUUCCCAUAACUCGGGGAUAGCCUUUCGAAAGAAAGAUUAAUACCCGAUAGUACUUUAUUAAGGCAUCUUAAGAAAGUUAAAGAUUUAUUGGUUAUGGAUGGGGAUGCGUUCCAUUAGAUAGUUGGUGAGGUAACGGCUCAGCAAGUCUUCGAUGGAUAGGGGUGCUGAGAGGCAGGUCCCCCACAUUGGUACUGAGACACGGACCAAACUCCUACGGGAGGCAGCAGUGAGGAAUAUUGGUCAAUGGGCGAGAGCCUGAACCAGCCAAGUAGCGUGAAGGAUGAAGGUCCUAUGGAUUGUAAACUUCUUUUAUAGUAGAAUAAAGUGAACCACGUGUGGUUUUUUGUAUGUAUACUAUGAAUAAGGAUCGGCUAACUCCGUGCCAGCAGCCGCGGUAAAAC
rnacentral:rRNA from 1 species